rnacentral:rRNA from 1 species
UACGGGGGGAGCAAGCGUUGUUCGGAUUUACUGGGCGUAAAGGGCGCGUAGGCGGCGUAACAAGUCACUUGUGAAAUCUCCGGGCUUAACCCGGAGCGGCCAAGUGAUACUGUUGUGCUAGAGUGCGGAAGGGGGCUACUGGAAUUCUCGGUGUAGCGGUGAAAUGCGUAGAUAUCGGAAGGAACAUCAGUGGCGAAAAGCGACUUCCUGGACCAGUACCGACGUUCAGGCACGAAAGCGUGGGGGAGCAAACAGG